rnacentral:rRNA from 1 species
UACGAAGGGAGCUAGCGUUGUUCGGAAUCACUGGGCGUAAAGCGCACGUAGGCGGAUGUGUCAGUCAGGGGUGAAAUCCCGGAGCUCAACUCCAGAACUGCCUUUGAUACUGAAGAUCUUGAGUUCGGGAGAGGUGAGUGGAACUGCGAGUGUAGAGGUGAAAUUCGUAGAUAUUCGCAAGAACACCAGUGGCGAAGGCGGCUCACUGGCCCGAUACUGACGCUGAGGUACGAAAGCGUGGGGAGCAAACAGG